rnacentral:rRNA from 1 species
GGAUGAACGCUGGCGGCGUGCCUAAUACAUGCAAGUCGAGCGAACGGACGAGAAGCUUGCUUCUCUGAUGUUAGCGGCGGACGGGUGAGUAACACGUGGAUAACCUACCUAUAAGACUGGGAUAACUUCGGGAAACCGGAGCUAAUACCGGAUGAUAUUUUGAACCGCAUGGUUCAAAAGUGAAAGACGGUCUUGCUGUCACUUAUAGAUGGAUCCGCGCUGCAUUAGCUAGUUGGUAAGGUAAUGGCUUACCAAGGCAACGAUGCAUAGCCGACCUGAGAGGGUGAUCGGCCACACUGGAACUGAGACACGGUCCAGACUCCUACGGGAGGCAGCAGUAGGGAAUCUUCCGCAAUGGGCGAAAGCCUGACGGAGCAACGCCGCGUGAGUGAUGAAGGUCUUCGGAUCGUAAAACUCUGUUAUUAGGGAAGAACAUAUGUGUAAGUAACUGUGCACAUCUUGACGGUACCUAAUCAGAAAGCCACGGCUAACUACGUG